UUCGCAAUGCCCGAAAGGGUGACGAAGCGACGCCGCGUGCGGGAGGAAGGCCUUCGGGUUGUAAACCGCUGUCGGGAGUUAAGAAAUGCAAGAAUGUUAAUAGCGUUCUUGCUUGACUAAGGCUCCGGAGGAAGCCACGGCUAACUCUGUGCCAGCAGCCGCGGUAAUACAGAGGCGGCAAGCGUUGUUCGGAAUUAUUGGGCGUAAAGAGCACGUAGGCGGCCUUGCAAGUCGGUUGUGAAAGCCUUCCGCUUAACGGAAGAACGGCAUCUGAUACUACAGGGCUUGAGUACGGGAGGGGAGAGUGGAACUUCUGGUGGAGCGGUGAAAUGCGUAGAUAUCAGAAGGAACGCCGGCGGCGAAAGCGACUCUCUGGUCCGAAACUGACGCUGAGUGUGCGAAAGCUAGGGGAGCAAACGGGAUUAGAUACCCCGGUAGUCCUAGCCGUAAACGAUGGGCACUAAGUAGAGGGGUUUU
rnacentral:rRNA from 1 species